rnacentral:tRNA from 2 species
GUUGCGGUGGCCGAGUGGUUAAGGCGUUGGACUAGAAAUCCAAUGGGAUCUUCCCGCGCAGGUUCAAAUCCUGCCUGCAACG